UACGUAGGUGGCAAGCGUUAUCCGGAAUUAUUGGGCGUAAAGAGCGCGCAGGUGGUUAAUUAGGUCUGAUGUGAAAGCCCACGGCUUAACCGUGGAGGGUCAUUGGAAACUGGUUGACUUGAGUGCAGAAGAGGGAAGUGGAAUUCCAUGUGUAGCGGUGAAAUGCGUAGAGAUAUGGGGGAACACCAGUGGCGAAGGCGGCUUCCUGGUCUGCAACUGACACUGAGGCGCGAAAGCGUGGGGAGCAAACAGG
rnacentral:rRNA from 1 species